rnacentral:tRNA from 1 species
GCCGAAAUGGUGGAACUGGCAGACACGCAGCAUUCAGGAUGCUGUGGAUUAAAAUCCGUGAGGGUUCAAAUCCCUCUUUCGGCA